rnacentral:tRNA from 1 species
AUAGUAGCUCAGUUGGUAGAGCAUCAGCUUCCCAAGCUGAGGGUCGCGGGUUCGAGCCCCGUUUAU